UCAAAAGCGAUGAGUCUAAGGAGUAUUCUAAUCUGUAUGAUAUAGAGAACUCAUGGUUGGUGGAAAUGAGUGCAUCAGUUAGGAGAAGGUAGUAGAGGAGCUUAAGACUUGAAUACAUAGGGUUUUACGGGGCUAGCCGUUAUCUAGAAAUGAAGAGCAUAAAGUAAAUCUGUUUCGAAAGAAUUUGCUUUGUGAAGCUAAGGUGGUACCGCGGAAAAAGUUUCGUCCUUACA
rnacentral:ncRNA from 1 species